rnacentral:rRNA from 1 species
GACGAACGCUGGCGGCGUGCUUAACACAUGCAAGUCGAACGAAGUGGCGGACGGGUGAGUAACGCGUAGUAAACCUGCCCUUCAGAGGGGGACAACAGUUGGACACGACUGCUAAUACCGCAUACUGAAGGAGUGGAUUGCGUCGGAUUAGCUGGUUGGAGGGGGAACGGCCCCCCAAGGCGAGGAUCAGGAGCCGGGCUGAGAGGGUGAACGGCCACAUUGGGACUGGGACACGGCCCAGACCCCUACGGGGGGGAGCAGUGGGGAAUCUUUCGCAAUGGACGAAAGUCUGACGGAGCAACGCCGCGUGAGUGAUGACGGCCUUUGGGUUGUAAAGCUCUGUUAAGCGGGACGCGGUACCGGAAUAGAAAGCCACGGCUAACUACGUGCCAGCAGCCGCGGUAAUAC